AUGGCCCAGGCUAAAGGGCGGAAUGAUGGCGCCCUGUCAUCCAAUGAGAACACUCGGUCGCUGUCGUCGGGCGAGGUUGAGGGCGUGGCGUGGCAGGGCCCUCGUACGGUGCUCCUGCAGAAGAACUCCCAGGGCUUCGGCUUCACGCUGCGCCACUUCAUUGUGUACCCGCCAGAGUCCUCCCUCCACAAUAACCUCAAGGAUGAGGAGAAUGGAAACGGCAACGGAAAAGGUUGUCAAAGGGGUCGUCUGGAGCCCAUGGACACCAUCUUUGUAAAGAGUGUGAGGGAGAAAAGCCCCGCCCACCAAGCUGGCCUGUGUACAGGGGACAGACUGGUAAAGGUGAAUGGGGAAAGUGUAUUAGGGAAGACCUACUCUCAGGUGAUCGCGUUGAUCCAGAACAGCGAGAAUGUUCUGGAGCUCUGCAUCAUGCCAAAAGAUGAGGAUGUGUUGCAGUUGGCGUACUCUCAGGAUGCCUACCUGAGAGGAAAUGAGCCAUACACGGGAGGGGCGCAGCAUAUCCCCGACCCUCCCCCACUCUGCUACCCCCGUGCCAAGCCCACUUCCACGGCCCCUCUGCCACCCAACCACCAAAGCCCCCUGGACAACUGGCACUGCCGCCCCAGCCCUGUUAACCAGGCAUCCUCCUUGGACAACCGCUCUGCCGCGGUUAACGUAACUCAGACCUCCGGCAGGCCCAGGGGUCCGGGAGAAAACGAGGAGGAUGGCGGAGGCCAUUUUAGCUCCUCGGCAGGACAAGAGGGAGAUUGGCUGCCAUCUUUGGGGCAGAACCGCGGGCGCUCGUCGUCGGCUGUCAGCGCACUGGAUUUCCACUUUGCCAACCACAACGCCGCCAUCGCCUCUGCAACCCUGCCCCACAUGCCCGCCCGGAAGGGAAGUUUACCGGCUACGCGUGCCCACAGCGACGCCAUGUGCCACCAGGCGCUGUCGGACUGGUACUACAGCCAGGCAGAGGCGGCCGAGCGCAUGUCCCCUCGACACCGGAGCAUUUCCCAGGAUCGGUUAGCCGAGCUGGGGUUGGGCUUAGCGCUGGGGCCUGGUGGCGCUGGAGACCACGGCGUUUCCCAAGAAACUCUGCUGCUCCACCACCAGGCAGCAGCCGCCUCCCACGAUUCCUAUUGGCUGGGAGGCUGGGGAGGAGUGUCCGGGCCAGGGAGCCGUUCGUGCUCCGAAAGCCUGCUGGCGGCGUACGCAUCGUACGAACGCAACUACGGGCGCUCACAGGAGACGCUAGCCCAGGCGGCUGCGCUGGUGUCGCCGCACUGCGAGAGAGCCCCCGCCUGGCCGUCGCAGGGUGCCAAGGAGCAGGACAAGGACUUGGGAAACCACCACACGGUUACAGCCACAACUGCAGCCACACUGGGUAAGCUCCACAUUACUUCUCCGGCUGAACUCUGCCUAUAUUAUGUCUACCUUUUCCCCACAGCCACAGCCCCCUCCGUUGGUCGGCAGACCCAGCAGCAGCAGGUGGCUGAGCCCCAGACCCAGAGCAGGAGGUUGGAGGAAGAGGAGCUGGUGGGUUACAAGAGCUACAGCCCCUCCUUCUGCCGCAAGGCCAGCCACCUCCUCCAACAAGCCCACUCCUUCAGAGAACCCACCUACAUCGGACCCCACCUCAACUGGGCACCCAGUGCCAAAACCAGCCCCUCAGACUGCGAGGGAGGCUGGAUAGGAGGGGGGGUGGUAGUUCCUCGUCCUUCCUCCACCCCGGCCGUCAUCCCUUCUUCGUCGGAGGAUGAGAGAGUGCUGGGGGAGGAGAGGGGGGAGUCGAGGGAGACGCUGUCUCCUCUCCCUCUGGGCCAGGAGGUGGUGCUGAGGCAGAAGCCCCCUAUGGGGCGUCGGACCCCCGUGCAGGCCCUCCGUCACCCCCUCUACGCCCUCCCAGUGGAUUCGGCCGAGCCCCCCGUCGGGCUGCUGCCCUCCCCAAACAACCCCACUGCAGGGACACCCUCGCCCGUCUCUGGGGGUACCAGAAUGGGGGACAGUCUAAGGAGGCCCAACGGUAGCCUGCAACCCCACCACAGCACACCCGACUCCCUGGCCUCCAUUCCCUUUAUAGGCAGUAUCAAAAGCCGCCGUUCCUCCUACCUGCUGGCCAUUACCACGGAGCGCUCCAAGUCAUGUGACGAGGGCCUCAACACCUUCCGGGAGGAAGGCCGUGUCUUCUCGAGACUACCAAAAAGGGUCAAGAGCUUUUUCACUGAUGGGUCUCUGGAGAGUCUACGUGCUGCAGAGGAGGCGCGGUCGAAACGUCACUCCACCUCUGAGCUAGGGACCAUCACCUUCAGUGACGUACGCAAGGACGGCUGGCUUCACUACAAACAGAUCCUCACGGAGAAGGGAAAAAAGGUGGGCGGCGGCAUGCGUCCGUGGAAGCACGUCUUCUCCGUGCUGCGCUCCCACUGCCUUUUGCUCUACAAAGACAAGCGGGAGGCGGUCCUCCACGGGGCGGGGGCGGGACCUGGCCACGGGGAGGACGAGCACCCUCCAAUCAGCAUCCGCGGCUGCCUGAUUGACAUUGCCUAUAGCGAAACCAAGCGUAAGCACACUCUGAGGCUGACCACUCAGGACUUCUGUGAGUACCUGUUGCAGGCGGAGGACAGAGAUGACAUGCUGGGCUGGAUCCGGGUCAUCAGAGAGAACAGCAAGACAGACAACGAGGAGCUGGGUUUUUCCAGACAAGCUCUCAUCAGCAAGAAGCUCAAUGACUACAGGAAACAAACCAAGGGUCCAUGGGGUAUCAUCAUGAAGAAAGCAAAGAAGACAGGCCCCAAGGUGUUUGGAGUGCGACUUGAGGACUGUCAACCUGCUGUUAACAACAAGUUUGUCCCUCUGAUUGUGGAGCUGUGCUGUGGGCUGGUGGAGAGCAUGGGUCUGGAGUACACUGGCGUCUACAGGGUGCCGGGCAACAAUGCCAUGGUGUCCAACCUGCAGGAGCAGCUCAACAGGGGCCUGGAGAUCAACAUUACUGAGGAGAGAUGGCAGGACCUGAAUGUGAUCAGCAGUCUCCUCAAGUCCUUCUUUAGGAAACUCCCAGAACCCCUGUUCACUGAUGACAAGUAUAAUGACUUUAUUGAUGCCAACCGGCUAGAGGACUCAGGGAACAGGCUGAAGAGCAUGAAGAAACUGAUCCAUGAUCUUCCAGACCACUAUCACCACACUCUAAAGUUCCUGGUCUGUCAUCUGAAGACAGUGGCGGAUCACGCCGACAAGAACAAGAUGGAGCCCAGGAACCUGGCUCUAGUGUUUGGUCCCACUCUGGUGCGUACCUCAGAGGACAACAUGACCGACAUGGUCACCCACAUGCCCGACCGCUACAAGAUCAUCGAGACGCUCAUCCUGCAUCACGACUGGUUCUUCAGUGAUGGAGAGGUGGAUAAGGAUGAAAAGGCACCUGUGGAUAUUAAGAGGGAUAUGCAACCGGUCCCCAACAUCGAUCACCUGCUCUCCAACAUCGGGAGAACAGGGCUGCCUGGAAGUGAGGCUUCAGAUUCCACCACCAGCGACUCACCUAAGGAUAAGAAGUGCACAUGGGGUUCCAAGAAGGACCUGAGUGCCAGGGACUUCCUCCCGUUGUCAAUCAUCUCCGCAGUGACCCGGAAACGCAAGAUACGCCCCAUCUCCCGCCCCCUGAGCAGCAGCACCGACGAAGACUCCGAACAUGAGCCAAUCAAAGCCAGCAACUACGGGGUAGGGGGAGGAGCCAAGGAAGAUGAGGAGGAAGGGGUUGGAAAAGGAUGCGCCCCUAAUGGAACUGAGGAAGUGGAGGAAAAGGGAGAAGAGGAGUGUAGGAAGAGGAUAGAGGCAAAACAGCAGUCUGACAGAGGAAGAGAGAAGGAGGGAGAAGGGAAGAAAGAAGGGAGUGCAUGGGCAAAAGAUAAAGGGGUGGCAUCCCCCAAACCUCAUCCUAACAGCUUCCUCUACACACACUACCAACCCACCACCACCAGCCCUAGCCCCCCAGUAGAGCCCUCAGUCUCCCCACAUUCGAAGCUCCCCGGCCUGGCCCGAGGACGCUCCACUGUCCCCUCCUGGCUCUCUCCCUCCAGACAGCCUGGCUCUAUCCAACCUUAUAACACCCAGAAAACACAACAGCCCCAGUUGGAACAGCAGCCACUGCCAGUGCAAUAUAGGAAGACAAGAGGAGGAAGGGCAAGGCCCCAGUCAAUGAAUUUGGAUAUGGUGAUGGGUAAGGGGGAGGGCGAGGGGGGAGUUGGGAGACGGGGAGAUAGGGUGAAGGUGGUAAGAGCCACAACAGAAGUGCAACGUCACCGCAGCAGUUCAGUUGGUGUUCCUCAGGGGUGUGUUGUCGCAUCCCUCAAAGUUCAAAGGAGUUCACGCCUAGCCUCUGCUCUAGCCCCAUCUCCAGUCUCUUUCUCUCCCCCUCUCCCUUCCUCCUCCUUUUCCCCUUCAUGGACAGAUCAGGGAUCCCUUGGUUCUACUGUUGUCAAGCGGAGGUCGGCCCUGGAGCCUCGAGACAAGCGGAAAGCCUGGCGCCGCCACACGGUUGUGGUCUAA
ensembl:lncRNA